rnacentral:rRNA from 1 species
UACGUAGGGGGGCAAGCGUUGUCCGGAAUCAUUGGGCGUAAAGAGCGUGUAGGCGGCUCGAUAAGUCUGCUGUGAAAAGUCCAGGGCUCAACCCUGGAAGGCCGGUGGAAACUGUCGGGCUAGAGUCCGGAAGAGGCGAGUGGAAUUCCCGGGUGUAGCGGUGAAAUGCGCAGAUAUCGGGAGGAACACCAUGGCGAAGGCAGCUCGCUGGGACGGUACUGACGCUGAGACGCGAAAGCGUGGGGAGCAAACAGG